rnacentral:lncRNA from 1 species
GUUUCUUUUAGCUUUUGUCUGAAAUAGUCAUUUAAAGUCCAGCCGAGCUGCCAUCUCUUCAAGGAAGUUUUCCCUGAAGCCCUCAGGUAGACCCGUUUUUCCAUGGCGGCCACAUCAGCAUGCAGCACAUUUAAUUGGAAGUCUCCACAUAUGAGUUGGUUUUCCUUACUUAAAAUAUGCUUAUCAUCCCUUGGAGGUCUGAUGCAUUUUUCUGUCUCUGCAGACCAGCUCCUCCCCCCUCCAAAUCUCAAUGGAAGAAUGCGACAUUCUGGAUUCAGCUACCCAAAGAGGGGUUUUUUCCCCCUCUUUGUCUCUAUUAUACAUUUUAUAGGAAGGAAUUCUGUCCCAGUUAAUUCAAACUGGGACCAGAGGAACAGGGUCCCGCUGCUCAAAAUGGCUGUCACCCGUGGGUAAGGGGAGCAGUCAGAGAGUCAUUGUGACUGGGGUGGCAGUCCCACUCCAAUCUGCCUUGUGGCUUCCUAGCCUGCAACAUACAUCCUCCCAGACAUACAAAAUGUGCCUCUGCCUGAGUCUUCCUGGCAGGGAGUUUGGUACCCCCCAACAUUGGGAGGGGAGCUUACAACACAGGACUAUCUCUUCCCAUAGAUAAUCUCCUCACAAAGCUCCACUCAGGACCACUUAUAUUCUUGAGCACUUGAAAAUAUUGGCUAUUUCCUUCUGACCCCCAUGGUUUCUUUUAAAAAAUUUGCUGUUGUUUGAAUUAUUUUUCUCUACAGGUAUUGACUGCUGCCUCAUGAAGGCUGGUCCUGUCUCUAUAGUGAAUAUUGUGCACCUCAGGGUAGAAUGGAGAGCAGAAGACUUCAAAUCAGGCAGUCUGGGUUCAGACCCCAAUUCUAGUGCUAAAUAGCUACGUGACUUUAGGCCGAUUGUGUGUGACUUCCCUGAGCCCCAGUCUCUUUGCCUGCAAAAUGAGAAAAAUUAUAACAAUGUCAUCGGUUGUUCUGAGGAUUCUGAGAGGAAUUAGUAGGAGAGAGAACUAAGAAGCUGCGGGCCUCUACAGAGCCAUUCAACUGGCAUUUCGGAAGAUGUUGCCCAUCAGAGUCAGACCUUCUUAGCAUCUUCCGGCUGGGCCCAAACUUCCCAAGACCAUUUGGACAAGGUCAUCUCUAUCCCACCAUGGCCUCCUCCCAGAGGAGGAGAAGAAUCAUGCUGUUACAGCAGAACCGAAGAUUUGGGCAAGGGAGCUAAUGAUUAUGUUCUGCGUCAGGUCAGAGAUGGGCUGGGAAAGCCACUCCAAAGCCAAGACAAGCAGUUUCCUGGAAAAAGAAGGCUGCGCGGAGCCCAGAGUGGCCUGGAUCCUGCCUCAUUUCCUGGACCAGCUCCUUAGGUGGUUACUGGAUUGCCAAUAAAGCAGAGCUUAUUAAAGUCAACGAGCUCAGGCUUCAUCGCCGCCAUGGUAUCCAAGCACCAGUCUGUCUGGGAUUUCAUUUGCCAGAUGGACAAAGGAGAGGUUGUUCCAAUACAUAUCCUGAGUGGUGGGGGUGGGGAGAGAAGGGGAAGAAUGCUCUCUAGAGAAUUCUCUUUGUCCUCUGAAGUAAAUAGAGAUCAUGUCUUCCCCAGCCACACUCAGUGAUCUGAAUCUCUUGGACUGUGGAUUUUUCCUUUACCUGCUGUGAAGCCUUGAAAAGUAUGAAUUAGCUUGAUAAUGAUCCUCUAAAGAUGUUCAAGAGUUAAAGACGUGUUUAAGUUCUUCAGGCAAUCCAAUAUGACUACGGGUUUCCAAAAAUUUGAAGGAAACUGAAAAUCAUAGUUCCCAAACCAGAUAUUUUCCGGUGUCCAGAUGUUCACUGGCAUGCAAACCAAAUGUCUGGAUUAUGAGCUCCUUUUUUCAUUUCUUUUUAUCAGCUUACAUCCAGAUGUUGGAUCCAACUGGUCAGAGGCCUGGGGCAGAGACAGAAAUCAAAUCUAGGGUGUUCAUCUAGAGUCUCCUGCUCCUCCAUUCCUGCUUCCUCCUCACGCUGCCCCCACAUCCUCCCCAACUCACCUUCAUGCUACAUCUCGGCAAAUACAGCUCAUAUCCAGGCACGGUGCAGCCCUUGACAGCUGGGUCCGCAAAGGCAGAUCGGGUAUAUCUUUAAAGAAAAGUUAUCUUAACCAUUGAGAAGCCUUCCUUCCUCAGAGGAGAGCACCUCCCCAGCAGACCUCCGAGGAGACCAAGGGCAGGACAGGAAGGGUGAAAGGAAGUUUCAGGACUGCAGGAAAUAAGAGCUUGGAGGUCAAGGGAGAGAUCAGAUAAAACAUGAAUCUGAUCAGCAUCCUAGUGGUCUAGAGUGGAGACAAUCUGCGGAGUCAACCUCAGUAAGGACACACAUAGAGAAGAACCAAAGCCUCUAAAGACGAAGCUGAGAAGUGUACGGUCGUAGAAGACUCGUGUCUGUUAUUCUUAAAAGCUCAAGGAGAUGUUCUGCCAAUUGAAUGGAAACUGUCCAUAGUGGGGAGCAGAGAGCCUCAUCUUUUCUGGAACUGAACAUCCAUCCUUAAGGCCAGAUUUCUCCCAUCACCAACUUUAACUCCUGCCCUAGCCCUCUCUCUUCCUUUUCAAAACCCUCUCCACCCAGGAAGGGAGAUUCUGGAGCCAAGACUGUACCAGCCACACCUCCCCAGAGUUGUUAAGGAAGGAACUCGAAGCCAGGGGUGGUCUUCUGGCAAGCACCCCCACUACCAGUAGCAGGACAGAUGUGUUUCUAAUGGACUACACUAUCCCCGGAGGUCACAUGAUUCAGGCUGCCAAGGGUACCUGCCCUUGGGAAAUCAACUCCCGAAGAUAAAUUGGGAUUGGGUCCUGAGAAGAUCCAUGGAAGCCCAGAGGACCCUGCCUCUCUCUGUUGCUUCAUGCUGUAGAGGCAGUACUGGGGAGGGCCUGCCCCACAUCCGGCAGGGCAGCUGGAACCAUGUGUUUGAUGACACUCUGCUCCCUCAAUGUGGAGCCUCAUCCUCAUCUCACAGUCUAGCAGGCCUCUGGUGGGUUAGGCUUGUCUCACCCAGUGUGUGAGUUUUUUUGGAAGUGACCUGAUUUUGGAGUUUCCCUCCAAGCCUUUCUCAGGUACAUGCUUUCUCUUUUAUUCUGUCUUCUUUUUUUGAUCUUCUUAAAUCUGAUUUUCUCCUUUUUCCCUCUCUUGUCUCCAUCUUUUUUCCAGUCUCUCGCUUCUCUUUAUUUCUCCCCAUAUUUCACUCUGUUCUCUCACCCCAACCUUUCCCUUCUGUUUCUCUCCCUCCCUCUCUUCCCACCCCCUGCCUGGCCUUCCAUAUAUCAAGCAGAGUUUUAUCACCUUAUGCAGGGGCAGCCCUGCCACCUGCCAUAAAGUUGAUAGGCUAAUGACAUUUUGUGGAUAUUGCCAUGUCACAAGUCCAGGACAGCAUCAAAAAUAGCCCUGAUGUCUAAACCACUUCAGCUAUCUUUUUUAUUUUUAAAAUAAAUACAUUCACAUGCUUUUAAGAAACUAUAAAAAUAUAUAAAGUAAAAAGAUCUUUCUCUCACACUGUCUCCACCUCUCCUGGUCUCACCGUUGUGCUUAGGGGAAACCAUUGUGAUUAGUUUCUCCUGUGUCCUUCCAGAGUGUCUUUAUGCAAAUGAAAAUUAUUGUGAUAAUAUAUUCCUAUUUUCCCCCUUACUACACAAAAGAUAGACUACCAUAAUCCCAUUCUGCACUUUUUUUUCACUUGAUAAUAAAAACAUGAUUU